rnacentral:rRNA from 1 species
AACGAACGCUGGCGGCAUGCCUAACACAUGCAAGUCGAACGAGACCUUCGGGUCUAGUGGCGCACGGGUGCGUAACGCGUGGGAACCUGCCCUUAGGUUCGGAAUAACUCCCCGAAAGGGGUGCUAAUACCGGAUAAUGUCUUCGGACCAAAGAUUUAUCGCGUUGGGAUGGGCGCGCGUUGGAUUAGCUAGUUGGUAGGGUAAAAGCCUACCAAGGCGACGAUCCAUAGCUGGUCUGAGAGGAUGAUCAGCCACACUGGGAGUGAGACACGGCCCAGACGCAUGCGGGAGGGAGGAGGGGGGUAGAGUGCAAAAUGGGCGGGAGCGUGGUGGAGCAACGCCGCGUGCGGGAAGACGGCCUGCGGGUUGGAAACCGCUUUCGCCGGUGACGGAGCGUGAGGGACGGUCAUGGAGAAAGAAGCACCGGCGAACUACGG